GGCGGACGGGUGAGUAAUGCUUAGGAAUCUGCCUAUUAGUGGGGGACAACAUUCCGAAAGGGAUGCUAAUACCGCAUACGUCCUACGGGAGAAAGCAGGGGAUCUUUAUGACCUUGCGCUAAUAGAUGAGCCUAAGUCGGAUUAGCUAGUUGGUGGGGUAAAGGCCUACCAAGGCGACGAUCUGUAGCGGGUCUGAGAGGAUGAUCCGCCACACUGGGACUGAGACACGGCCCAGACUCCUACGGGAGGCAGCAGUGGGGAAUAUUGGACAAUGGGGGGAACCCUGAUCCAGCCAUGCCGCGUGUGUGAAGAAGGCCUUUUGGUUGUAAAGCACUUUAAGUGGGGAGGAGGCUUACCUGGUUAAUACCUGGGCUAAGUGGACGUUACCCACAGAAUAAGCACCGGCUAACUCUGUGCCAGCAGCCGCGGUAAUACAGAGGGUGCGAGCGUUAAUCGGAUUUACUGGGCGUAAAGCGCGCGUAGGUGGUUAAUUAAGUCAAAUGUGAAAUCCCCGAGCUUAACUUGGGAAUUGCAUUCGAUACUGGUUAGCUAGAGUAUGGGAGAGGAUGGUAGAAUUCCAGGUGUAGCGGUGAAAUGCGUAGAGAUCUGGAGGAAUACCGAUGGCGAAGGCAGCCAUCUGGCCUAAUACUGACACUGAGGUGCGAAAGCAUGGGGAGCAAACAGGAUUAGAUACCCUGGUAGUCCAUGCCGUAAACGAUGUCUACUAGCCGUUGGGGGAUUUGAUCCUUUAGUGGCGCAGCUAACGCGAUAAGUAGACCGCCUGGGGAGUACGGUCGCAAGACUAAAACUCAAAUGAAUUGACGGGGGCCCGCACAAGCGGUGGAGCAUGUGGUUUAAUUCGAUGCAACGCGAAGAACCUUACCUGGCCUUGACAUAGUAGAGACUUUCCAGAGAUGGAUUGGUGCCUUCGGGAAUCUACAUACAGGUGCUGCAUGGCUGUCGUCAGCUCGUGUCGUGAGAUGUUGGGUUAAGUCCCGCAACGAGCGCAACCCUUUUCCUUACUUGCCAGCAUUUCGGAUGGGAACUUUAAGGAUACUGCCAGUGACAAACUGGAGGAAGGCGGGGACGACGUCAAGUCAUCAUGGCCCUUACGGCCAGGGCUACACACGUGCUCAAUGGUCGGUACAAAGGGUUGCUACACAGCGAUGUGAUGCUAAUCUCAAAAAGCCGAUCGUAGUCCGGAUCGCAGUCUGCAACUCGACUGCGUGAAGUCGGAAUCGCUAGUAAUCG
rnacentral:rRNA from 1 species